rnacentral:rRNA from 1 species
GAGUUUGAUCGUGGCUCAGAUUGAACGCUGGCGGCAGGCUUAACACAUGCAAGUCGAGCGGGGGAGAUUGCUUCGGUAAUUGACCUAGCGGCGGACGGGUGAGUAAUACUUAGGAAUCUGCCUAUUAAUGGGGGACAACAUCUCGAAAGGGAUGCUAAUACCGCAUACGCCCUACGGGGAAAGCAGGGGAUCACUUGUGACCUUGCGUUAAUAGAUGAGCCUAAGUCGGAUUAGCUAGUUGGUGGGGUAAAGGCCUACCAAGGCGACGAUCUGUAGCGGGUCUGAGAGGAUGAUCCGCCACACUGGGACUGAGACACGGCCCAGACUCCUACGGGAGGCAGCAGUGGGGAAUAUUGGACAAUGGGGGGAACCCUGAUCCAGCCAUGCCGCGUGUGUGAAGAAGGCCUUAUGGUUGUAAAGCACUUUAAGCGAGGAGGAGGCUCCUGUAGUUAAUACCUACAGAGAGUGGACGUUACUCGCAGAAUAAGCACCGGCUAACUCUGUGCCAGCCGCCGCGU